rnacentral:rRNA from 1 species
CGGGGUAGAGUAAUGCUUGGGAAUCUGGCUUAUGGAGGGGGAUAACUACGGGAAACUGUAGCUAAUACCGCGUAGUGUCGAGAGACGAAAGUGCGGGACCGAAAGGCCGCAUGCCAUGAGAUGAGCCCAAGUGGGAUUAGGUAGUUGGUGGGGUAAAGGCCUACCAAGCCUGCGAUCUCUAGCUGGUCUGAGAGGAUGGCCAGCCACACUGGAACUGAGACACGGUCCAG